AUAUGUGGGAACUCCUUCAAGACUGUUGGAAAAGCAUUCCAGGAGAGAAACCAGACUCUGACAGCGGGAAGAGUCCUUCAGGGGAACCAGGCACAGAGACGCCCAAACCAGCAAGACAACACCACUGCUCCCACUGUGAAAAUAGUUUUUGCUGGUCAGGGCACCUAAAAUCUCAGGAGAGGAUACACACAGGAGAAAAGCCUUUCCAAUGUUCCCAGUGUGGAAAAAGUUUUACUAAGAAAGGGAAAUUAAAAGAGCAUGAGAGAAUACACAAAGAUGAAAAGCCAUUCCAAUGUUACCAUUGUGGAAAGAGUUUUACCCUAAUAGGAAACCUAAAAAAGCAUGCAAGACUACACACCGGAUAAAUGCCUUUCCAAUGUUCCCAGUGUGAAAAGAGUUUUGCUGUGUCAGCUAACCUGAAAAGACAUGAAAGAAUACACACAGGAGAAAAGCCUUACCACUGUUCCCACUGUGAAAAGAGUUUUAUUCAUUUAGGGUACCUAAAAGCUCAUGAGAGGACACACACAGGAGAAAAGCCUUAUCAAUGUUCCCAUUGUGAAAAUACUUUUACCAUUUUAGCUAACCUGAAAAGGCAUGAGAGAAUACACACUGGAGAAAAGCCUUAUCACUGUUCCCAUUGUGGAAUGAGUUUUACUCAGACAGGGCACCUGAAAGCUCAUGAGAGGAUACACACAGGAGAAAAGCCUUUCCAUUGUUCCCAGUGUGGAAAGAGUUUUACUAAGAAAGGGCCAUUAAAAGAGCAUGAGAGAAUACACACAGGAGAAAAGCCGUUCCAAUGCUCCCAGUGUGGAAAGAGUUUUACCUGGUUAAGGAGCCCUACCACUGCUCUCUCUCUGUGUGGAAGGACAUUUUCCCAGUCACAGAACCUGAAAUCACAUGGGAGAAUAAAGGCGUUGUGUUCUGACUUA